rnacentral:pre_miRNA from 1 species
UUAACUCAUAUUUGCAUGAAAUGGGAUCGUUUGCGUACGUUUGCCGCUAGGGGCGCUGUUCCAACUGCAUACGAAAUUGGGUUA